CAAGGUUAACCGUAUAGGGGAGCCGGAGGGAAACCGAGUCUUAAUUGGGCGUUAAGUUGCAGGGUAUAGACCCGAAACCCGGUGAUCUAGCCAUGGGCAGGUUGAAGGUUGGGUAACACUAACUGGAGGACCGAACCGACUAAUGUUGAAAAAUUAGCGGAUGACCUGUGGCUGGGGGUGAAAGGCCAAUCAAACCGGGAGAUAGCUGGUUCUCCCCGAAAGCUAUUUAGGUAGCGCCUCGUGAAUUCAUCUCCGGGGGUAGAGCACUGUUUCGGCUAGGGGGCCAUCCCGGCUUACCAACCCGAUGCAAACUGCGAAUACCGGAGAAUGUUAUCACGGGAGACACACGGCGGGUGCUAACGUCCGUCGUGAAGAGGGAAACAACCCAGACCGCCAGCUAAGGUCCCAAAGUCAUGGUUAAGUGGGAAACGAUGUGGGAAGGCCCAGACAGCCAGGAUGUUGGCUUAGAAGCAGCCAUCAUUUAAAGAAAGCGUAAUAGCUCACUGGUCGAGUCGGCCUGCGCGGAAGAUGUAACGGGGCUAAACCAUGCACCGAAGCUGCGGCAGCGACACUGUGUGUUGUUGGGUAGGGGAGCGUUCUGUAAGCCUGUGAAGGUGUGUCGUGAGGC
rnacentral:rRNA from 1 species